AUUGAACGCUGGCGGCAUGCUUUACACAUGCCAGUCGAACGGUAACAGGCCGCAAGGUGCUGACGAGUGGCGCACGGGUGAGUAAUGCAUCGGAACGUGCCCAGUCGUGGGGGAUAACUACUCGAAAGAGUAGCUAAUACCGCAUACGAUCUAUGGAUGAAAGCGGGGGACCGUAAGGCCUCGCGCGAUUGGAGCGGCCGAUGUCAGAUUAGGUAGUUGGUGGGGUAAAGGCUCACCAAGCCAACGAUCUGUAGCUGGUCUGAGAGGACGACCAGCCACACUGGGACUGAGACACGGCCCAGACUCCUACGGGAGGCAGCAGUGGGGAAUUUUGGACAAUGGGCGCAAGCCUGAUCCAGCAAUGCCGCGUGCAGGAAGAAGGCCUUCGGGUUGUAAACUGCUUUUGUACGGAACGAAACGGCUCUGGUUAAUACCCGGGGCUAAUGACGGUACCGUAAGAAUAGGCACCGGCUAACUACGUG
rnacentral:rRNA from 1 species